rnacentral:rRNA from 1 species
CACGUAGGAUGCAAGCGUUAUUCGGAUUUACUGGGCGUAAAGCGCGUGUAGGCGGUUAGGAGAGUUGGAUGUGAAAGCUCCCGGCUUAACUGGGAGAGGUCGUUCAAAACUUCCUGACUAGAGUUUGGUAGAGGAAAAUGGAAUUCCGGGUGUAGUGGUGAAAUGCGUAGAUAUCCGGAGGAACACCAGUGGCGAAAGCGAUUUUCUGGACCGAUACUGACGCUCAGACGCGAAAGCUAGGGUAGCAAACGGGAUUAGAGACCCCGGUAGUCCUAGCUGUAAACGAUGUAGACUUGGCGUUGGGAGAGUAAAAUCAUCCAGUGCCGAAGCAAACGCGAUAAGUCUACCGCCUGGGGAGUACGGCCGCAAGGUUA